rnacentral:rRNA from 1 species
UACGUAGGGUGCGAGCGUUAAUCGGAAUUACUGGGCGUAAAGCGUGCGCAGGCGGUUUUGUAAGCCAGAUGUGAAAUCCCCGGGCUUAACCUGGGAAUGGCAUUUGGGACUGCAAGGCUUGAGUGCGGCAGAGGAGACUGGAAUUCCCGGUGUAGCAGUGAAAUGCGUAGAUAUCGGGAGGAAUACCGAUGGCGAAGGCAGGUCUCUGGGCUGACACUGACGCUCAUGCACGAAAGCGUGGGGAACAAACAGG